rnacentral:rRNA from 1 species
GACGAACGCUGGCGGCGUGCCUAAUACAUGCAAGUUGAGCGCUGAAGGUUGGUACUUGUACCAACUGGAUGAGCAGCGAACGGGUGAGUAACGCGUGGGGAAUCUGCCUUUGAGCGGGGGACAACAUUUGGAAACGAAUGCUAAUACCGCAUAAAAACUUUAAACACAAGUUUUAAGUUUGAAAGAUGCAAUUGCAUCACUCAAAGAUGAUCCCGCGUUGUAUUAGCUAGUUGGUGAGGUAACGGCUCACCAAGGCGAUGAUACAUAGCCGACCUGAGAGGGUGAUCGGCCACAUUGGGACUGAGACACGGCCCAACCGCCUACGGGAGGCAGCAGUAGGGAAUCUUCGGCAAUGGACGAAAGUCUGACCGAGCAACGCCGCGUGAGUGAAGAAGGGUUUCGGAUCGUAAAACUCGGUUGGUAGAGAAGAACGUUGGUGAGAGUGGAAAGCUCAUCAAGUGACGGUAACUACCCAGAAAGGGACGGCUAACUACGUG